UACGGAAGGUCCGGGCGUUAUCCGGAUUUAUUGGGUUUAAAGGGAGCGUAGGCCGGAGAUUAAGCGUGUUGUGAAAUGUAGAUGCUCAACAUCUGAACUGCAGCGCGAACUGGUUUCCUUGAGUACGCAUAAAGUGGGCGGAAUUCGUGGUGUAGCGGUGAAAUGCUUAGAUAUCACGAAGAACUCCGAUUGCGAAGGCAGCUCACUGGGGCGCAACUGACGCUGAAGCUCGAAAGCGCGGGUAUCGAACAGGAUUAGAUACCCCGGUAGGACUGACU
rnacentral:rRNA from 1 species